rnacentral:rRNA from 1 species
GAUCGGUGACAGGUGGUGCAUGGUUGUCGUCAGCUCGUGUCGUGAGAUGUUGGUUAAGUCCCGCAACGAGCGCAACCCCUAUUGUUAGUUGCCAUCAUUCAGUUGGGCACUCUAGCGAGACUGCCGGUAAUAAACCGGAGGAAGGUGGGGAUGACGUCAAAUCAUCAUGCCCCUUAUGACCUGGGCUACACACGUGCUACAAUGGUUGGUACAACGAGUUGCGAGUCGGUGACGGCGAGCUAAUCUCUUAAAGCCAAUCUCAGUUCGGAUUGUAGGCUGCAACUCGCCUACAUGAAGUUGGAAUCGCUAGUAAUCGCUGAUCAGCAGGCAGCGGUGAAUACGUUCCCGGGCCUU